ACAAAGGUCCGAGGAUGGUAUGAUUUUGAACCCGAAUCGUAGAUAGUUUAUAGACAUAACUUGCUUUUAUAUUCAUACUUAUGAACAUAUUAUGAGAACAUUGUCAACCAUUACAGGUUGAUUGUAAAUUAGAGAUGGAGUUACAAAGAG